GUGGAGCAGGGUGGCGGCUCUUGUCGUGGCUUGUCAAAGAGUUCGGAUCCAUCGGUUGAAGCUCGACUGGGAUGCCCGAUGAAGCAGAAUGGCUCUUCACAUCGUCAUUCUGGGAGAGGCUCGGAUGUUCCGAGGUCGCUGACGUUUCAGGCGGGAGUCGCCUGUCGUAGGAGCUCGGAUGGAGAUUUUCUGUUAGCGAAGUCUGGAGAAGUCCGUCUGGGAUUUAUCUGAUGUGGAGGCUCAUUCGAAGAUUGUCCGUCGGAGAAGUCUGAUUUUAUGGGGAGCCUGGU
rnacentral:lncRNA from 1 species